AUGUCGGGGUCCGCAUUCGCCUUUGGGGCGGGGUCCCCUGCUCUGGGAGGUGUCGGGGGCGCAGGCUGCAGCCGGGGCCUGGGAAUCCGGGGCUUUAGGACGGGACUCUCGCCCCCGGCAGCCGUCGGGGCCUGGUGGGCAGCGUUCCCUUCAGAGCCAGCACGGAGGCCAUGCUGCAUCCACACCCAGGUCCCGCAGAUGUGGGGAGGAGGUCAGGGUCAGGGCUGCAGGGGCGGGGCCAGGUGGGGUGCAGGCCGUUCCCGCCCGUCCUCCCACCCCCGCCCACCCUCUCCCGCCCACACCCCAACGCCCCAAACAGUGGUCCCUUGGGGCUCCUUGCCCCUGGUGGGGACAGUCCUGGACCCUGAGCUGGGGAGGGUGCCCACAGGCAGGACACCUGCUGGAGUCCCUGCAGCUGGCAGAGGGAUGGCAGGGAAGCUCUGCUGCGGGUCACGCAGCCAUGAGGGUGGGUGUUCAGGUCCCUGGAACCAGGCGUCCUUCCCUGUGCGUGGACACUGCCAGAGGCUGACCUCAUGCCCUUCUGCUUCAGGGGGACACGCGCUCCGCUCUCCUCUCCCCUCCCCGGCCUGCAAGGCUCCCGGGAGCCCGGGGUCCUGGUCCCUCCUGUGGCCCAGGCACAGGGGAGCCCAAGGGGGGAGUUCUGGGGCUGCCUGUCCCCUGCCCACUGCUGGCUCUGCGGGGCUCGCCCCGCCCUGGAGAAGGCGAGGGGCCCCUCCCCGGAGCACGCGAGGAAGCCGGGCAGGGCCCCGCUGCUGUCACAUGGUCCCUGACAGAGCCUUUGGGACCAGAACCCCCUCCAUGGGGCCCCGCGGUGCCCCAGGUCCCUCUGCACCACGGCCUUUCAUCCAGGGGCCCUGCUGGGCACUGCCACCUGCUAGCGGUGUGGACGUGGGUGCCCGAGCCCAACCCUGGUCGCAGGCUCGCUGGGGGCUCCUGGUGAGCAGGCUCGCAGGGCUGUGUGGGCUGACUCGCUCCUGCCCCCGGACACGGCCCUGCGCCCUCAGCCGGGGCCUCGCCCGCGUUCCAGCUCGCUCUGCCCCCCUUCCAGGGGGCACACAGGCCAGCUCCCUCCUCUCUGCACACGCCAGCCUCCCUCCUCUGCACACACCAGUCUCUUACAGCAACCGUGUAACUCUGUGUCGUUUUAAGGUUGAUGUUUGUAUAAAGGAAGACAGAACUUCAAACUAG
rnacentral:lncRNA from 1 species